AAAUGAAUUGACGGGGACCCGCACAACCAGUGGAGCGUGUGGUUUAAUUCGAGACGAAGCGAAAAACCUCACCAAGGCUUGACAUAAUAGCGUUCUAUGCCCGAGAAACCGGGCAAAUCCGUAAGGAGGCUAUUACAGGUGCUGCAUGGCUGUCGUCAGCUCGUGCCGUGAGGUGUUCCCUUAAGUGGGGAAACGAGUGCAACCCUUGUCUAAUGUUAAAUAUUCAUUAGAGACUGCCCCGAUUUUUCGGGGAGGAAGGAAAGGCGGACGUCAAGUCAGCAUGGCCCUUAUGCCUUGGGCUACACACACCCUACAAUGGCGAAGAACAAUGGGUCGCAAGCUCGUAAGAGCAAGCUAAUCUCAGAAAUUUCGCCUCAGUUCAGAUUGAGGUCUGAAACUCGACCUCAUGAAGUUGGAAUUGGUAGUAAUCGCGGAUCAGCGGGCCGCGGUGAAUACGUUAUCGGGUCUUGUACACACCGCCCGU
rnacentral:rRNA from 1 species